AGUUGUGUUUUGAUGUGUGUGUGUGAGUUUUGGACGUUGUGUGUUGUGUUUUGAUGUGUGUGUGUGUGAGUUUUGGACGUUGUGCGAAGUUGUGUUUUGAUGUGUGUGAGCGUGAGUUUUGGACGUUGUGUGAAGUUAUGUUUUGAUGUGUGUGAGCGUGAGUUUUGGACGUUGUGUGAAGUUUUGAUGUGUGUGAGCAUGAGUUUUGGACGUUGUGUGAAGUCGUAUCUUGAUGUGUGUGAGCGUGAGUUUUGGACGUUGUGUGAAGUUGUGUUUUGAUGUGUGUGAGCGUGAGUUUUGGAUGUGUGAAGUUUUGAUGUGUGUGAGCAUGAGUUUUGGACGUUGUGUGAAGUCGUGUCUUGUGUGUGUGUGUGUGAGUUUUGGACGUUGUGCGAAGUUGUGUUUUGAUGUGUGUGAACGUGAGUUUUGGACGUUGUGCGAAGUUGUGUUUUGAUGUAUGUGAGCGUGAGUUUUGGACAUUGUGUGAAGUCGUGUCUUGAUGUGUGUGAGCGUGAGUUUUGGACGUUGUGUGAAGUUGUGUUUUGACGUGUGUGAGAGUGAGUUUUGGACGUUGUGUGGAGUUGUGUUUUGACGUGUGUGUGCGUGAGUUUUGGACGUUGUGUGGAGUCGUGUUUUGAUGUGUGUGAGCGUGAGUUUUGGACGUUGUGUGGAGUUGUGUUUUGAUGUGUGUGAGCGUGAGUUUUGGACGUUGUGUGAAGUUGUGUCUUGAUGUGUGUGAGCGUGAGUUUUGGACGCUGUGUGAAGUCGUGUCUUUGUGUGUGAGUUUUGGACGUUGUGCGAAGUUGUGUUUUGAUGUGUGUGUGUGUGAGUUUUGGACGUUGUGCGAAGUUGUGUUUUGAUGUGUGUGAGCAUGAGUUUUGGACGUUGUGUGGAGUUGUGUUUUGAUGUGUGCCAGUGCGGGUUUCUUCGGCCUUGCUCUCUUGUGGUCCUGCCCAGGCCGAAAAGCGAACAGUCCAGUGAGCCAACUGGACCAUGGAGGACGAGAUGCAUGUGAACCGAACUCACCAAACACGGCCUGCAGAGGAGGACCGUCCAUCCAGGGCCAGCCUGCAUCCAGGGGCCUGCUGACCACAGCCUGCAGAGGGAGAGACCGUCCAUCUGAGGCCCUGCUGACCCAUAGCUGUGCACGCCUGCUCUUUCCAUAGUGGGUGGUCUCUCAGCAGCAAGGCUGUGGCGUGGAGAACUCGAACAUGAGGUACUUGCCCCGUGACACCCUGCUGGUGUCCCUGAAUCUGGCUGUUAAUGAGGAUGGACACAGGCGUCGGCAGGCCACGCUUUGAGAGGGUCUGCCGCUGGCACUGAGGCGAGACCUGAAGAGGCACAGGCCCCGGAGGAGGUGGGCGCCGCACCCUUGAGGUGGAGAACCCCGCCUUUAAGGACACACGAAGCUGGCCGGCUGCCAGAUGCCGCGGUUCCGGGGAGGAGAUGGGACGCUCUCCUCCGGGCCUGAGAUGGCAGGAUCACGAGGGGACCUUGGGUCACCUGCGUGGCAGCCUCUGAGGCUGCCCUGGCUCCCAGCCCGGUCCUUGGUGCAGGUCAGGAGCUGCUAGGAUUCCUGUUUCACUAAACAUUUGAUUCUUAUCUUCUCUGCAGUGUUUCCCAUGGGGUGCAGACCCGCUGCCCGGGCGGCUCAUGUGUAUCCCAGCAGCUCACGUGGUCCUGCUCUCCUGAGUCCCCCAUGCAGGGGCGGUGUCCAGGUCCAGGUGGGCGAGUGCCUCCUCUCCUGCGUCCUGGGCCCGUGGGUCCUGUUGAGUCUAAGCCACAUCCGAUCACUGGUGUAUGACUCCUGUACUUGCUGAUUCUCCUCCACCGUGCCUGUGGGACAAGCACCCAGCGGGGCUGGGCACACGAGAUGCCUGGUCUCCUUUCUGGAGGGUCCCUGAUAAGGACCUCGAUGCCUGGCCUUGUGAGGACCCCACUGGGUUCUCUGUGUCUCAGGAAUGCUGGUAGGUUUGGCAGCCAGUGUUCACUGAGAGGCAGUGUCUGGGGCCAGGGGACCUGAGCAUGAAUCUUGUCUUUGCCACUGACCUUGCCCCGCCUGGACACCGUUUUUCCGUUUGUAAAGUGAAGUGAAAGCCACUGACGGCCCCUGGGCCUUUCUUCCCUCUGGCCACAGUCGACUGAGACUGUCACCAUCCCCGUUGCAGAUCUGGGAGUCUUGUGCUGAGGUUGGGUGUGUUGAAAAUGGAAACGCAGCCGCCCACCCUGGGCUAUCUAUUCCUGGAGCAAAAUGCUAAGUUCCUUUGAGCCUGAGGUGCUCCCAGCUCCAGCCUCAUCCCAGAGACCCGUCACCAACCUGUGGUCUGCAGAGAUUAGGUGGGACCAAGCCGGGGUCUCCAUGGUCAGGCCUGGAAGGCUGUGCUCUCCCCGGACCACCAGGGGCUCAGCCACACUUCCGGGGCCCAGCAAGGAUGUCCGUGGGUCGCCCCUGGUUCUUUGAUCCUGUGCUGAUUUAGAAUCUGAAUCUCUGUACUCAGGAAAGGCUUAGGAAUCGAGAGCUGCAGAGAUAAAGCAACAAGGGACCCCCAGCAGGGACUGGAGGGAUUCUGAGCCCCCCGGAGCUGCUGGUGGUCCUGAGGUGCCACGGACGUGAGUGCCCAGGCCUGCACGGGGCCCCUCGGUCUUUGGACCCUGGCACUGUUGGACAGAUCUCCCCGCAGGCUGCCCAGCGCUUGCAAGCGACAAGGCAAAGAGCCGGAGAGAGAAACCGAGGAGGAACACCUGCCUCUGCCCUGGUUCCCAAAGGACCCCCGUGUGAGAAGCCGUGAUCAUGAACACGGAUACAAAGAACUCAGAGUAAAUCAUAAUUUUGUUGUAAAACGGAAAUGGAAGAAAAAUGAGCUCUGUGAACAUAAUUUCAGGCAAAUGAAAAAUUGAUUGGAAACGGACUUCAAGGUUAGACCAUUGGUCCAGGAUUCAUGACACCGGAUCGAUAGUGUUUGCUCUGGAAAAUACCUUUUCACUGAACAUCCACGAACAAAGGCAAGGUUAUAAUAAAGCUUUUGGAAUUCAAA